AGGCGUCGGUUCCCUGGCGGAAAACCCCGCCAGGGGACCGACGCACGUUGGAGUCGGUGGGCGGCAAGCCAAGCCAAGUCAAGGCCGUCGGCGCGGCGUUCGUUUGGGUUCGUCUGGUAUGGUGAGGCCGCGUCCGUUACAGUGAGAUAGAGCUUGUUUUUCAGCAAAGAUGACAGACGUAGCGUGCCUAGUUGUGGUGCUUCAUGCGGACAUUAGACAAAAGUGCCUGCUUGAAGAGGACACUCCAACUGCUUUGAGGAGUGCUAUCUCGGCUUCGAGAAUUUUGGCGUCAUACGUGAACGCCACUGACAGGAUUCAGGUAUGUUGCUUCUUGUGCCAUACGCUUGAAGUAGAACACAGAACUACACAUGCAGAGCGUUGUGAUGACUUAGUAACAACAUUGCUGUCACCUCUAGGUUCAGGAUAGCGACUUCAGUGGGUGUUGAAUUCGCGGAGGGCGAUGAGAUAAUGCAUACGGCGACAGUACCCGUCUUGCAACCUCACCGUCAGGAACGCUCGAAGGAUUCAACCUCCUUGCUGUCCACGCCCUGCGAAUACUGGGUUCGUGCGUGAAGGGUUCUGAAGCAAUUAAGAACAUGUUUGUGCAUUAUGAUACACCUGUGCCGGUGACACCGUGCAUCAUGUUCACUGGGAGCAGCAUUGAAGAAGCGAAGCAUAUGGACCUCUAUGUCGGCGAGUAGCGCCUUCUCAGAACCAUCGACCUUGACGAGGGCUUGGCUGCUAUUCUCGCAGCUAUUGGUUAUUUCAUAUUGUCUACAGUUCAGAGCCGCACCGUACAUCUUGAAGCCUGGAAGAGCGGUGCCUGAAAGUGAGUGACUCUCGUGCAAGAAGCCCCGUGGAUCAAUUUUUUCAACAGUUAUGGAAAAGAGCUUGUGAAUGCUUCGAACAUCUAAAACAUUUGCUACUUUAACUGACUUGUAGUGAGCCCUC